GUGCUCACUUCAGCAACACAGAUACUAAAAGUGGAAAGAUAUAGAGAUUAGCAAGGUCCCUGUGCAAGGAUAACACACAAAUUUGUGAAGUGUUCCAUGUUUUU